UUGCCUUUUGUCGCAGAAGACCUAACCUUUACUUUACCACUCGAUCACAACCCCUUUGCCCUAACUUUGAUGGCGGCCCGAUCCAAAUCCUUUGCACUAGCUUUGGCAGCGGCGCAGAAUCUGCGAUUCGAGGACGGAGGACUUCGGUUAGGGUGAUUUCAAUCCAGGUGUAUAAUAGACGUGUUUGAGAGACACUCGACGUCUUUGUCGGCUUUUGUUUGAUAUACCUACACCUUUGAUUUUAAUUAGUAAUGAUAACAUUAGUAUA